rnacentral:rRNA from 1 species
AACGAACGCUGGCGGCAUGCCUAACACAUGCAAGUCGAACGAGACCUUCGGGUCUAGUGGCGCACGGGUGCGUAACGCGUGGGAACCUGCCCUUAGGUUCGGAAUAACUCCCCGAAAGGGGUGCUAAUACCGGAUAAUGUCUUCGGACCAAAGAUUUAUCGCCUUUGGAUGGGCCCGCGUUGGAUUAGCUAGUUGGUAGGGUAAAAGCCUACCAAGGCGACGAUCCAUAGAUGGUCUGAGAGGAUGAUCAGCCACACUGGGACUGAGACACGGCCGAGACUCCUACGGGAGGCAGCAGUGGGGAAUAUUGGACAAUGGGCGAAAGCCUGAUCCAGCAAGGCCGCGUGAGUGAUGAAGGCCUUAGGGUUGUAAAGCUCUUUUACCCGGGAUGAUAAUGACAGUACCGGGAGAAUAAGCUCCGGCUAACUCCGUG